rnacentral:misc_RNA from 1 species
CUCAUUUCCAGAUAAUCAGACCAAGCUUCUGAAGAAGUAAUGUUUUCAGUAAUAUAGUACAAUUGGUCUCCAGAGGUGAAGUAGAUCUUGUUUUCCAUGUUUUUGAACAAGCACAGCACGCGAUUAGAGAAAAACACAGAACCUGAUGUUGCUGUAGUGCGGGAAUCUCGGAGGAAGAGUCUGAGGGCCUUACCUGAAAAUCGUGUUAAGGAGCACUUGCAUAUUUCUAGUGAUAUCGUCAAUUAGG